rnacentral:rRNA from 1 species
GACGAGCGCUGGCGGCGUGCUUAACACAUGCAAGUCGAACGGAAAGGCCCUGCUUUUGUGGGGUGCUCGAGUGGCGAACGGGUGAGUAACACGUGAGUAACCUGCCCUUGACUUUGGGAUAACUUCAGGAAACUGGGGCUAAUACCGGAUAGGAGCUCCUGCUGCAUGGUGGGGGUUGGAAAGUUUCGGCGGUUGGGGAUGGACUCGCGGCUUAUCAGCUUGUUGGUGGGGUAGUGGCUUACCAAGGCUUUGACGGGUAGCCGGCCUGAGAGGGUGACCGGCCACAUUGGGACUGAGAUACGGCCCAGACUCCUACGGGAGGCAGCAGUGGGGAAUAUUGCACAAUGGGCGGAAGCCUGAUGCAGCAACGCCGCGUGCGGGAUGACGGCCUUCGGGUUGUAAACCGCUUUCGCCUGUGACGAAGCGUGAGUGACGGUAAUGGGUAAAGAAGCACCGGCUAACUACGUG